ACACGUAAACAACCUGCCUUCAGGAUGGGGACAACAGACGGAAACGACUGCUAAUACCGAAUAAGUUCCAAGAGCCGCAUGGCCCAUGGAAGAAAAGGUGGCCUCUACCUGUAAGCUAUCGCCUGAAGAGGGGUUUGCGUCUGAUUAGCUGGUUGGAGGGGUAACGGCCCACCAAGGCGACGAUCAGUAGCCGGUCUGAGAGGAUGAACGGCCACACUGGAACUGAGACACGGUCCAGACUCCUACGGGAGGCAGCCAUG
rnacentral:rRNA from 1 species